rnacentral:rRNA from 1 species
AGUGAACGCUGGCGGUAGGCCUAACACAUGCAAGUCGAACGGCAGCACAGUAAGAGCUUGCUCUUACGGGUGGCGAGUGGCGGACGGGUGAGGAAUACAUCGGAAUCUACUUUUUCGUGGGGGAUAACGUAGGGAAACUUACGCUAAUACCGCAUACGACCUACGGGUGAAAGCAGGGGAUCUUCGGACCUUGCGCGAUUGAAUGAGCCGAUGUCGGAUUAGCUAGUUGGCGGGGUAAAGGCCCACCAAGGCGACGAUCCGUAGCUGGUCUGAGAGGAUGAUCAGCCACACUGGAACUGGGACACGGUCCAGACUCCUACAGGAGGCAGCAGUGGGGAAUAUUGGACAAUGGGCGCAAGCCUGAUCCAGCCAUACCGCGUGGGUGAAGAAGGCCUUCGGGUUGUAAAGCCCUUUUGUUGGGAAAGAAAAGCAGCAGGUUAAUACCCCGCUGUUCUGACGGUACCCAAAGAAUAAGCACCGGCUAACUUCGUG